UACGUAGGGACCGAGCGUUGUCCGGAUUCAUUGGGCGUAAAGAGCUCGUAGGCGGCUGUUCAAGUCGAACGUGAAAACUCGGGGCUCAACUCCGAGCCUGCGUUCGAUACUGGAUGGCUAGAGUCUGGUAGGGGGAUCUGGAAUUCCUGGUGUAGCGGUGGAAUGCGCAGAUAUCAGGAGGAACACCUAUGGCGAAGGCAGCUCGCUGGGACGUUACUGACGCUGAGACGCGAAAGCGUGGGGAGCAAACAGG
rnacentral:rRNA from 1 species